rnacentral:rRNA from 1 species
UACAGGGGGGGCAAGCGUUGUUCGGAAUUACUGGGCGUAAAGGGUCUGUAGGUGGCCAACUAAGUCAAACGUGAAAUCCCUCAGCUUAACUGGGGAACUGCGUCUGAUACUGGAUGGCUCGAGUGUGGGAGAGGAAUGCGGAAUUCCAGGUGUAGCGGUGAAAUGCGUAGAUAUCUGGAGGAACACCGGUGGCGAAGGCGGCGUUCUGGACUGCAACUGACACUGAAGAACGAAAGCCAGGGGAGCAAACGGG